rfam:Stegodyphus mimosarum contig7368, whole genome shotgun sequence.
GUCUUCGUGGUGUAAUGGUCAUCACACUCGUCUCGUAUUCGAGAGGUCCAAGGUUCGAGUCCCGGCGAGGGCA